GUAACCCUGCGAUGUUGGUGUUGUCGAGCUACAAGUACUGAGCCAACACUUAUACCUAGGGAGCAUUACUCCGGCCUCUGUGUUGAGUGCCGUCACUUCGGGGGCGGAGUCCUAAGGAGGUUCGGGCCAGAGGUGCCUUCCCGCCUGCGUGUGCAGGUUCAGGUACAUGCUUGCCGCGGCAUACGCGGGGCCCGC
rnacentral:other from 1 species